rnacentral:rRNA from 1 species
CCUACGGGAGGCAGCAGUGAGGAAUAUUGGUCAAUGGGCGAGAGCCUGAACCAGCCAAGUCGCGUGAGGGAGUACUGCCUUAUGGGUUGUAAACCUCUUUUGUCGGGGAGCAAAAGCCGGACGUGUCCGGCUGUGAGAGUACCCGAAGAAAAAGCAUCGGCUAACUCCGUGCCAGCAGCCGCGGUAAUACGGAGGAUGCGAGCGUUAUCCGGAUUUAUUGGGUUUAAAGGGUGCGCAGGCGGAUUUUUAAGUCAGCGGUAAAAUCGUGGGGCUCAACCCCAUCCAGCCGUUGAAACUGGGGAUCUAGAGUGUGCGAGAGGUAUGCGGAAUGCGUGGUGUAGCGGUGAAAUGCAUAGAUAUCACGCAGAACCCCGAUUGCGAAGGCAGCAUACCGGUGCACAACUGACGCUCAGGCACGAAAGCGUGGGUAUCGAACAGGAUUAGAUACCCGUGUAGUC